AGUGCAUCAGUAGGUGGCAGAGGAGAGAGGUUAUAUCUAUGCUCAGUGUUCUGUCCUAUGAAGAUCUGAAUGAUCAGUACUCGAACAUU
rnacentral:snoRNA from 1 species